CCUACGGGUGGCAGCAGUGAGGAAUAUUGCACAAUGGGGGAAACCCUGAUGCAGCGACGCCGCGUGAAGGAAGAAGUAUUUCGGUAUGUAAACUUCUAUCAGCAGGGACGAAAAUGACGGUACCUGACUAAGAAGCCCCGGCUAACUACGUGCCAGCAGCCGCGGUAAUACGUAGGGGGCAAGCGUUAUCCGGAUUUACUGGUUGUAAAGGGAGCGUAGGCGGUUUAGCAAGUCAGAAGUGAAAGCCCGGGGCUCAACUCCGGGAAGGCUUUUGAACCUGUUGAACUAGAGUGCAGGAGAGGGAAGUGGAAGUCACAGUGUAGCGGUGAAAGGCGUAGAUAUUAGGAGGAACACCAGUGGCGAAGGCGGCGUACUGGACCGUAAAUGACGCUGAGGCUCGAAAGCGUGGGGAGCAAACAGGAUUAGAUACCCCAGUAGUC
rnacentral:rRNA from 1 species